rnacentral:rRNA from 1 species
GCAUAUCAAUAAGCGGAGGAAAAGAAACCAACAGGGAUUGCCCUAGUAACGGCGAGUGAAGCGGCAACAGCUCAAAUUUGAAAUCUGGCUACUUUUGUAGUCCCGAGUUGUAAUUUGUAGAGGAUGCUUUUGGUGAGGUGCUUUCUGAGUUCCCUGGAACGGGACGCCAAAGAGGGUGAGAGCCCCGUACAGUUAGAUACCAAACCUUUGUAUAGCUCCUUCGACGAGUCGAGUAGUUUGGGAAUGCUGCUCUAAAUGGGAGGUAUAUCUCUUCUAAAGCUAAAUAUAGGCUAGAGACCGAUAGCGCACAAGUAGAGUGAUCGAAAGAUGAAAAGCACUUUGAAAAGAGAGUUAAACAGCACGUGAAAUUGUUGAAAGGGAAGCGCCUAUGACCAGACUUGUCUCUAUCAGUUUUGGUAGUUUUCGGACUGCUUUACUCUGUUAGUACAGGCCAACAUCAGUUUGUUGUUGGGGAGAAAGGCUUAGGGAAUGUGGCUCCUUUCGUGGGAGUGUUAUAGCCCUUUGCAUAAUACCCUUCGGCAGACUGAGGACCGCGCUUCGGCAAGGAUGUUGGCGUAAUGGUCAUCAGCGACCCGUCUUGAAACACGGACCAAGGAGUCAACCUUAUGUGCAAGUGUUUGGGUGUAAAACCCCAGCGCGUAAUGAACGUGAACGUAGGUGAGAGCUUCGGCGCAUCAUCGACCGAUUCUGAUGUUCUCGGAUGGAUUUGAGUAAGAGCACACAGGGUUGGACCCGAAAGAAGGUGAACUAUGCUUGUAUAGGGUGAAGCCAGAGGAAACUCUGGUGGAGGCUCGCAGCGGUUCUGACGUGCAAAUCGAUCGUCAAAUAUGAGCAUGGGGGCGAAAGACUAAUCGAACCUUCUAGUAGCUGGUUCCAGCCGA